rnacentral:rRNA from 1 species
GGAUGAACGCUGGCGGCGUGCCUAAUACAUGCAAGUCGAGCGAACAGAUAAGGAGCUUGCUCCUUUGACGUUAGCGGCGGACGGGUGAGUAACACGUGGGUAACCUACCUAUAAGACUGGGAUAACUUCGGGAAACCGGAGCCAAUACCGGAUAAUAUUUCGAACCGCAUGGUUCGAUAGUGGAAGAUGGUUUUGCUAUCACUUAUAGAUGGACCCGCGCCGUAUUAGCUAGUUGGUAAGGUAACGGCUUACCAAGGCGACGAUACGUAGCCGACCUGAGAGGGUGAUCGGCCACACUGGAACUGAGACACGGUCCAGACUCCUACGGGAGGCAGCAGUAGGGAAUCUUCCGCAAUGGGCGAAAGCCUGACGGAGCAACGCCGCGUGAGUGAUGAAGGUCUUCGGAUCGUAAAACUCUGUUAUUAGGGAAGAACAUACGUGUAAGUAACUGUGCACGUCUUGACGGUACCUAAUCAGAAAGCCACGGCUAACUACGUG